rnacentral:piRNA from 1 species
UGAGACUCUAUCCAUGUCUGCGAUGGAAUCU